CACGCCGGGACUGAGACACGGCCCGGACUCCUACGGGAGGCAGCCGUGGGGAAUAUUGCGCAAUGGGCGGAAGCCUGACGCAGCCAUGCCGCGUGUGUGAAGAAGGCCUUCGGGUUGUAAAGCACUUUCACUUGGGAGGAAACGUUCACGGUUAAUACCCGUGAGCUUUGACGUUACCUUGAGAAGAAGCACCGGCUAACUCCGUGCCAGCAGCCGCGGUAAUACGGAGGGUGCGAGCGUUAAUCGGAAUUACUGGGCGUAAAGCGCGCGCAGGCGGUUUGUUAAGUCGGAUGUGAAAGCCCCGGGCUCAACCUGGGAAUUGCAUCCGAUACUGGCCGACUGGAGUGCGAGAGAGGGAGGUAGAAUUCCACGUGUAGCGGUGAAUUGCGUAGAUUUGUGGAGGAAUACCGGUGGCGAAGGCGGCCUCCUGGCUCGACACUGACGCUUAGGUGCUAAAGCGUGGGGAGCACACAGGAUUAGAUACCCUGGUAGUCCACGCCGUAAACGAUGUCGACUACCCCGUGGGGAACUUGAGUCCUUGGUGGCGCAUUUAACGCGCUAAGUCGACCGCCUGGGGAGUACGGCCGCAAGGUUAAAACUCAAAUGAAUUGACGGGGGCCCGCACAAGCGGUGGAGCAUGUGGUUUAAUUCGAUGCAACGCGAAGAACCUUACCAGGCCUUGACAUCCCCGGAAUCCUGCAGAGAUGCGGGAGUGCCUUCGGGAAUCGGGUGACAGGUGCUGCAUGGCUGUCGUCAGCUCGUGUCGUGAGAUGUUGGGUUAAGUCCCGUAACGAGCGCAACCCUUGUCCUUAGUUGCCAGCACUUCGGGUGGGAACUCUAAGGAGACUGCUGGUGACAAACCGGAGGAAGG
rnacentral:rRNA from 1 species